rnacentral:rRNA from 1 species
CAGUAGCCGCGGUAAUACGUAGGGUGCAAGCGUUAAUCGGAAUUACUGGGCGUAAAGGGCGCGUAGGCGGUUUGGCAAGUUUGGUGUGAAAUCUUCGGGCUCAACUCGAAGUCUGCAUCGAAAACUGCCGGGCUUGAGUAUGGGAGAGGUGAGUGGAAUUUCCGGUGUAGCGGUGAAAUGCGUAGAUAUCGGAAGGAACACCUGUGGCGAAAGCGGCUCACUGGACCAUAACUGACGCUGAGGCGCGAAAGCUAGGGGAGCAAACAGGAUUAGAUACCCCCGUAGUCCCUGUCUCUUAUAC